AAAUGUUUUGUAGAACGCAAAAACUAUAAUUUCUUUAUGACGUGAACUCGAUAGCUUACGUAUAAUUUGUUCCAACGAAUGAUGGGAUUUCUAAGUGCUAUAAUUUCGUAUUUAGAUUCUUAUUUAUGCUUUCCCUUCGUACCUUUGAUGAAUGGCCACUCCUUGGAACCACUAUAGCUCCUGUGCUAGUAUCGCUUCAAUUGUUUGAUGAUCUGUAAGACGCUGCUGAAUAACGAAAUGCAUUGAAUGCACUUUGCAUAUUUCUGCAUCCUGUGGGUCAAUUUUCAAGCUCACCAUAAUAGUGCCAUCUCUCUAUGUCACUCUCCAAUAAGUGCUUCUCACAAACGUAUGCAAGAGCCGUGAGCUCUCGAUCUUCGUAUUCUGCGAGCCUACACUUGAAACCUCACUGGGCCACUCGGAACUUUAAAGGCAAUUACCUUCUCCUUGCAGGAUGCGUAGCCACUGUUGCAGUUCCGCUCGACACUUUUGCGCCUUGUCAUACAGAAGUACUGAUGGAAAUUCUGGAAAGCACUCACCUUUGUUGAGGCGUUAAAAGCUCGCACAGAGAGCGAGAAGCCAGCGCCACUGGCGCAACGCGGAAGCCCGCGAGAAUGCUAAAGAGAGACAGAAAGCCCAUAGAUCGCAAAAGCUUGCACUCCCAAGGCCACCUACGCAUGCAUGUGCACAACGUGCGAGCGCAAGGGACCAGUGGAUGCGGCCAUGGGAUGCGGCAGAUGUCGUCUGCUCAGGGACCACUACCAUUUUAAAAGCAGCGGUUACAUGCCCACAAACCAGCCCUGGCACUUGUUGGAUCACUGUUGCAUCAGCACCAAACUCCAUUGUCCUGAGUUAUUGAUGUUUUCAUAUUGUUUGAAGUGAAAAUUGUAAAGCUAAAAGCUUUCUUGUUGACUCUUUCUAUACGUAUGUUAUGAGAGAGUUUAUAAAUAAAGCUUUUUU